rnacentral:rRNA from 1 species
UACGUAGGGGGCAAGCGUUGUCCGGAUUCAUUGGGCGUAAAGAGCGUGUAGGCGGCCAGGUAGGUCGGUUGUGAAAACUGGAGGCUCAACCUUCAGAGGUCGACCGAAACCAUCUGGCUAGAGUCCGGGAGAGGAGAGUGGAAUUCCUGGUGUAGCGGUGAAAUGCGCAGAUAUCAGGAAGAACACCCGUGGCGAAAGCGGCUCUCUGGAAUGGUACUGACGCUGAGACGCGAAAGCGUGGGGAGCGAACAGG